rnacentral:rRNA from 1 species
UCGAGAAUCUUCGGCAAUGGACGAAAGUCUGACCGAGCGACGCCGCGUGCGGGAUGAAGGUCUUCGGAUUGUAAACCGCUGUCAGAGGGGAUGAAGUAUACGAGAGCUAUCUCUUGUAUUUGACAGAGCCUCAGAGGAAGCACGGGCUAAGUUCGUGCCAGCAGCCGCGGUAAUACGAACUGUGCGAACGUUAUUCGGAAUCACUGGGCUUAAAGGGUGCGUAGGCGGUUUUCUAAGUCACGUGUGAAAUCUUCCGGCUCAACCGGAAAACUGCGCGUGAUACUGGAUGACUUGAGUGAGGUAGGGGUGUGUGGAACUUCCGGUGGAGCGGUGAAAUGUGUAGAGAUCGGAAGGAACGCCAGCAGCGAAAGCGGCACACUGGGCCUUUUCUGACGCUGAGGCACGAAAGCUAGGGGAGUGAACG